rnacentral:misc_RNA from 1 species
CCCUGCCUGGCCCCGACGCUCAGGAAGAGGACAAUGACUUCCGCAUAGCCCUGCCGUCGUCGCCAGCAGCCUAUCUUCAGCUCAAGAACGGCGCGUUCAUGCGCGCUUUCGGAGGGUUUGCACGAGUGUGGGGCUGCCGAUGACACUCGCCGACGAUCCCGCACGGCUUCGCAUCCUGACUGAUCUCGACGCCACGUUGCUCGGGCGGCCGCCGGCACCGGCAAAACGGCGCUAAUGGCCGGACGCCUGACCAUGCUGCUCGCGCGUGGCACCGAGCCCGGCGCGAUCGCCGCG